AUGUUGUUUUUAUUAAAAAAAACACGGUAUUUACUUGACUUUUCAUUGCAAACUCAAGCAGGAAAAAAAAAACCAAUGGAUUCCCGAUGCAAAUUUUCCCAUAAGGCACACUCGUUCCUUUCUUCCUUUCAUUCUUUCCCUUCUUUUUCUUCUUCCUGUUCUUCCUACCUGCUUUCAUUUCUUUCUUCCUUUUCCGCCUUCUUUUUCUCCUUCUUUCCCUUUUUCUUUUCCUUUUUUACUUCCUUCUUGCCUUCCUUUCUUCUUCCUAUCCUUCCUUCUUUUUCUUCUGCCUUCCUUCCUUAUUUCUUCCUUUCCUUUCUUCUUUCCUUUUUUACUUCCUUCUUCCCUUCCUUCUUUUUCUCCUUCCUGCUUUUGUUUCUUUCUUCCUUUUCUUCUUUCUUUUUCAUCUUCCUUCCUUUCUUCCUUCUCUUCUUUUUCUUCCCUUUCUUUCUCCUUCCUUCCUUCCCUUUUCUUCCCUUCUUUUUCUCCUUCCUUCCUUCACUUCUUUUUCUUCUGCCUUCCUUCCUCAUUUCCUCCUUCCUUUUCUUCUUUCUUUCCUUUCUUACUUCCUUCUUUCAUUUCUUUCUUCCUUUCCUUCUUUUUCUUCCUCACUUCCUUCCUCUUCCUUUCCUUUCUUACUUCCGUCCUUCUUUUUCUUCUUUCUUUUUUCCCUUGCCUUCCUUCCUUCCUUCUUCCUUCCUUUCUUUUUUCUUCUUUUUUUACUUCCUUCUUGCCUUCCUUUCUUCUUCCUAUCCUUCCUUUCAUUUUUUUCUUCCUAUCCUUCUUUUUUUCUCCUUCCUUCCUUCACUUUCUUCUUUUUCUUCUGCCUUCCUUCUUUCCUUCUUCCUUCUCUUCUUAACUUCCUGCUUUCAUUUUUCUUCCUUCCCUUCUUUCUUUUUAUCCUUUCUUCCUUCCCUUCUCUUCCUUCUUUUUCUUCUGCCUUCCUUCCUUUCCUUCUUUCUUUCCUUCUUCCCUUCUUUUUCUUCCUCACUUCCUUCCUCUUUCCUUUCUUCCAUACUUCCUUCCUUCUUUUUCUUCUUUCCUUUCCUUCCUUUUCUUCUUUCCUUUUUUCUUCCUCCCUCCUUCCUUUCCUUCCCUUCUUUCCUGCUUUCAUUUCUUUCUUCCUUUCCUUCUUUCUUUUUCUGCUUUCUUCCUUCUUUUUUUCUGCCUUCCUUCCUUCCUCACUUCCUUUCCUUUAUUUCCUUUCUUACUUCUUUCCUUCCUUCCUUCCUUCCUUCCUUCCUGCUUUUGUUUCUUUCUUCCUUUCCUUCCUUCCUUCCUCCCUUCUUCUCUCCCUCCGUCCCUUCACUCCUUCCUUCCGGUAGGCUGCUAGGGAUGCUGGGAGUUGAAGUCCACAACGCCUGGAGAGCGGGCCCGGAUUGGCCCAGGCCUGCCCCAGGUGGAGCCACGCCUUCGUUUUGA
rnacentral:lncRNA from 1 species